rnacentral:rRNA from 1 species
GACAGAGGGUGCAAACGUUUGUUCGGAAUUACUGGGCGUAAAGCGCGUGUAGGCGGUCGUGCAAGUCGGGUGUGAAAGCCCUCGGCUCAACCGGGGAAGUGCACUCGAAACUGCAUGACUAGAGUCUCGGAGAGGAUAGUGGAAUUCUCGGUGUAGAGGUGAAAUUCGUAGAUAUCGAGAGGAACACCGGUGGCGAAGGCGGCUAUCUGGACGAUGACUGACGCUGAGACGCGAAAGCCAGGGGAGCAAACGGG